rnacentral:lncRNA from 1 species
AUGCUCCAGAUGAGAAAACAUGACCAUACGAUUGGUCAUCCUAUCCAAAGAACCCAAAUCUUCCAUGGUGGUGUUUUCUUCUUUGCAGAUUAAUUAUUCCUGCGUGCGAAAUAUCUGGCCUCUAGCGAAGGAUUGUCAUUGGAUGUAUUUUCUUUGGCGCAAAAAAUUUUAUGUAGCUGCAUAUGUCUUUUUGUACAUUCAUUUGGGGAUCGUGUUGGGGUCUGAUCCAUCAAUAGACAAUCCUUUUUAUCUUGAAAUUAGCAGUACAUUCAUUAUUGGAAUUAGUAGUACAU